AACACGUGCAUUAGGUAUGUUAUAGUUAUUUAUUGAUAUUAUAUAUACAGUAAAUAAAAUUUGAUUAUUAGGAAGUCACUUGGAGCUCCAAAUUAAAUGUUUCUUAUGUAACAUCAGUGAUCAUAUAUAUUGUAAUUUCUCAUGUACAUCAUUAUGUACAAAAUUCUCGAGAGGGCCGUUAAAAAAACCCAAAUCAAUCAAUAAAUGUACUAAAAAAGUAGUUGAUACCAACAAUGGAACCAUGUAAUAAGCAGACAUUCCCUGUAUAGAAUCAUGUAAUAAGCAGACAUUCCCUGUAUAGAGCGUAACUUUAUCGACCACUUAGCUUUAUUCAUGAGUCAAUUAUGAUUACAGGUGACAAAUACUUUAAACGUAUAUUAAUAAAAAUUUAUUUUUCAUCAGGAUGUAUGAAAAAUUCCAGAUAUAUUUAUAACUCCGUAUCAAUCCGGAAACCCCCUAAUUGUUCUGUACGAAACAAGCUACUCCUCAGAACUUUAUUUUAUCUUGUGCCGAGAAAAAGUAUGUUGUUUAUUUCUUGACAUUGAAUACAGUUAUGUUCUUACAUUUUAAAUUUCAAUAGCAAUUCAUCCCGAUAUACGUGGUUCAUUUCAAUAGCUGCUUUUAGUUGCACAGAUCUCAACUGAACAUUUAAUAAUUGCAGUAUUUAUCUGCAUGUUCCAACUGCACCUUUAAUCAUUAGAAUUUAUUCUCCGGACGAGCAGCAAGGUUGUCCAUUAUGAAUAACGAAACACUUCCGUCGUUAAUUCGGAGUGGAUGUGCAUGUGAAAAAUCAGCGAAUUUCGAUUUUCGCCCAAAAAAGAAAGGGAAAAAAUUCAGGAUUUACAAGGGAAAUAUGUAUUCUUCUUGCACCGACAUUGAACGUGCCGCAGUGAAAGUUGACACUUCUCGUCAAGGGUCAAUGGAGGUAUUGGAAAAAUAUGUUUUGCAGUCUCAGAAUGCUCAUGGAAUUGCUAGAAAGUUUUCGAAAAUGUGCAAUGUUACAGUUAGUUUUCCGGAGCUUCAUCUAGCUGUCAUGGACAAGGUGUCUGUUAUUACAAAUACCAUGUCGAGGCACAGAAAGCUUUCAAGUGAUGAAUUCGUGUUGUUUGAACCAUUUAUCAGGGGCAGUCUUGAAUACUUUGUGACUUGCGAUGGCAUCGUAACAGAAAAUUGUCCUAAAAUCAUUGAAGAGCUAUGCCAUUUUUCAUAUCACGAUUCCAAUGGUACAAACAUUCUACGAGGACUAAAAGGUGUCUGGAGAAAAGAUGGCUAUACAUUUCAACUUGCGUCACCAGCUACUGAAAUGUUUUCAAAGGGAAGUUCUUGUGGAUCUGAAAAUCGAAUGGCCGUUACAAACUUUUUUGAUAACCAUCAUUGUACCCAUCGUUGCGAGAAAUGGUUGUCAUGUCAAUCCCAGUCAUGUCUGAAUGACAUUUCUUACAUGAUAAAGAACCUGCCUCCUCUUGGUCCCCCGCCGCCGUAUGAAUAAAAUUUCCAAAAGUUCUGUUGCCUGACGUUUUUCGUACCAAUUGUUAUGUCAUUUUUUACACACUCAUUUUUGACGACGGAUUACUCCGUUAACUUUAUCAAGAUAAAGGGCUGACGGCGGAUGUGACCGGUCGACAAGGGAUACUUACUCCUCCUAGACACCUGAUCUCACUUCUGGUGUGUCCAGGAGUCCGUUUCCUUACAGGAGUUAUGAGAUUGAUCACUGUUCGUUAUUUUCACCUUUUCAUUAACUUACAAUUACGUAAGAGGCGUGUACAAGCAGGGUCAAGCCAUUGGUGAUAAGGACCACGUCACGUGAUUGCCAUGAAAUACAUUAAAAGUUAAAUCUAAGUUUACUGUACUUUACUCAUAAAGAGAAUCUCUGAAAUGGGGGGGGGGGGGGGUAAAGCUGCACAUCUUUUACUGGAUUUAAUCCGGAAUCUUACUCCAAUGAAGAAACCUGCUUCUUCUACAGAAGUUUUUCAAGCGAAUAAUGUGAAACGUUGGAAAUGAUUUCCGGAUUAUCUUAUUGGAAUUCUCCAUGUUUUAUGCGUUUGUUUAAGUUUGGUUAUUAAAACCAGAUCUUAUUGAACAUGUGAAAUUUGACUGUAGAUAAUGAAAUAAAUUGAUUAGUGGUCUCUGUUAUAUUUAUUUCCAAUGUACAUAUACUUAGCAAAUGGAGUUGUUUGCCUCACACCACCUCGAGAGUUAUUCACAUUGAUGUACCUUAUACAGGGUGACAUCACCUCUUGAGCAUGUCCUGCCCUGGGUGUUAACACGUGAUCAAAAGAUUAUCUCUUCAUAUUGGGUCAAUCCCCUGUGUACUGCCACAAGUGACUUCUUUUGAGUGGGGAUUAUUCAUCUGGGGCGGAUCCAGGAAUUGCGGUUAGGGGGGGGGGCGCCACUUUAUGAGGCAGGUGGUCUGGGAGUGAAGCCCUGGUGGGGGCCCAGGGGGCGAAGCUCCUGGAUUUUACAGAUUUUAUAGGUCUUGAAAUAAGUCUCUUAUUUAGUAAUGUAUACCAUUUCCUAUCAUUUUUGAUAAGGUGAAAGUAAUGAAAUGAGGCAAAUUUUAAGGGUUUUGGGAAAAAAAUAAAGUUCUCCCAAUAAAGUAAUUCAAGAAAUCAAAAGAUUUUGUCAUUUAUUUCUCCGGGAGUGGAAGAAAUUACUGCUUCUUUUAUCGUUUAGUACAUUUCUCUAAACAAGAUACCACGAUUUACCUUAAAUUUGAAAAUUUUAGGAGGGGCGCGCGCCAGCUGCCACCACCCCCUUAAAUCAACCACUGUUCAUAGUUGAAACGCUUGCUUUGCGACCGGGAGGUCGGGAGUUUGAGCCCAUCUCGUGCCAUGCCCGCGUCAAACCUAAGAUGUAAACAUAGGUAGAGAUUACCGACUGCUCCUUCACCACGGCAUUUGAUUAGAAGUGAGGUUCGCGGAUCUUCUAAUGCACUGUGGUACCUUACAACCGGAAGUCACGUGUCGGGACAGACGUUGGCGCGUUAAAGAAUCCCCACUGCUAUGGCCCACUUUACUGACAGAACUUAAUACUUAGUAUUUGAAAUUCGUAAUUGUGUUAAUGUUUUAUUUACUGAAGGCAAGAUAAGAAUUUGAUAUAACGACGAGAUUGGGGACGGGUUCUCGGCUUUAGUUAGGGCCAUAUUGUUAUAAAAACUUCAAUCUUAUUCGAUUUCACAUUAUACAUAGAAUAGAAUCGUUUUCCGAGAACGAUGAAGAUUCCAGAUAAAGCUAUUCUGUUACAGGGGUGUGUAAAACAUGGUCUAUAAUGACCGGGAAAGUGUUAUGGAUUACAGUUGACGUCUUAGCGAAACUUUGUUUUCAGAUUAUGUAGAAGACAAAGAACACGGAAAGUGUGAAUUCCGCGAAAAUUCGUGCUGUUCCAUUCUAAAUAGAUCAGGCCGACCUGAUUGUUCAUGACCAAAUAAGGAUAGUGUAAAACUCAAAAUUGCAAUUAUUCUGCACUAGGAAAUAUUUAAAAAUGAACCUUUCCAGUGUUUUCCUAUGUAGUCAUUAACCACAUGACGCCUUUAUAAACAAUAAAAAUAACAUCGAUUUUACUGAGAUUAAAUGUUUCAUUAAAUUUUGAAAAUUUAAAGGCGUAUUAGCUGACAAAGUCAUGUUUGUCGAUUGAUAUCAACAUGACCAAAUCAGUCUAGGUUUACAUUGUAGAUUUACUGCUCAUUUUCUUGUAUAUUUGAUAUUGUCUUUUGUAUAUAUGAAAAACAUAUUGAACAUUAUUGUAAGGAAGUUAAUAAUCACAAUAGUCGAGUUUUGCAUACAGGUAAUUUUCACAAAUUCAAGGCGAAAUUAGAUCACAUAUAGUUUGUACUUUUGAAUUAAUUUUUCUUUAUUUUAAACACUUUACCGUAUUUUAAAAUGGCUGAGAAGAAUUAUCAAGUUUUUACUCCCAAUGGAAUUCUUAAAACCGGACAGAUUAAACUUAAAAGCUAACACAUUGUUGAAAUGUUGUCGCAUCGACUCAAAACCCCGAAGAAAAAAGUACCUACAGUAGAUAGACAACACCCCCUUGAUACCGUAUGUGCAUGUACAUAUAGUUUGUUCAGUAGAGAUGGAGUGUAACAUAUGCACCUGAAUUCAGGGUGAAAAAAUUAACAUAGACUGAGAAAAAUAGUUCAUGUUUUUGCGAUGAUAAUAUCUCUUGUUCAUGUAAUCAGAAUAUAUAUGUAUACAGAAUAUGGCAGCACGAAUCAUCACUCGUACCAAUAUAAGUGAUCACAUAACUACAGUGCUGAUUUCUAUAUAAAUAAAUAUCAUUAUUAUCAUUAUUAAUCAAAAUGGUGUGUGAUAUUGAUCAGGAAAUGUGACACUUCGGGCAAGUUCAAGUGAUCUGCCUUGCGGUUUGUUUAUUUUUAAAACUGAUUUAGAAAUACGUGUACUUUAAAUUUGAUAUUGAAAAUAGAACUUUGGGUUUACCCUGAUUUUUCUGUUUACAAACAUUGCGUCCUGGAAAAGGGCCAAGUUUCUUACACUAUAUAGGGUAUAGGGGCGAUAUCUUUAGAUAGGUAUUUCUUUCAAGGAUAUUUAAGUUUGCAUUAUGUCAUUAACAACAAUGACUUAAAAUUUCCCGAUAAAUACCAAUGAAACGUCGCAAGAAAGAAAUUAGUAUUGAUAUUGUAUACCCUCUACCACACGGAUGUAAGUUCUAUAUCAAAAAUCAUUAAUUAGAAAAUGGAAAGAAGUCAUAAAGAACGUCGAUUCUUAAGAAUCCAAAGCAACACGGGCGCCUAGAAAAACAACAUUAACAUUAUUUUAAAUCUUUUUGGAGAUUUUGAAAAAUGCGCAUCAGUCACUGGAAAAGUCUUCAGAUGUGUCAUCUCCACCUCCUUGAAAUUCCCAAUGGUGUUCCAUUUUGUUAGCAGCGAAAAAGCGAAGUGACACUGUGUCUUCCCUUUGUCUGAAAAAGAAAUAUGAAAAUUACUUUUUAUUGUGGAAGAAAUUGCAGCUUCAUCAGAAUUCACUUGAUAACAUUCUACUGGGACCUGAAUUUGGAGAGUUUAACGACAUCACAAUGGAAGCGAUUGGUGAACUUUUCUGUCGGUGCAGAAGUGAAACUUUCAGGUUAUUAACAUGCACCUCGAGUCUCGUGUCACAGUAGACUUACACGCAGGGGCCUAUCCGAUGAACAGCAUCACCACUGUCUUGGAUCAAGCCAGUGUCACACGUUUCGAUCCGCGACGAGAUAAAAUGUUACAUUCAUUUUAUUCGCUCAAACCACAAUGGAAAUGGUACAUGGGGUACAAUACAGAAAUUCCAUGUAUCAAUACAAGUAACGUCAGAGGAAUGUAUAUAGGUAUGCAAAUAAACAAAGUGAAAUAUAUACAUAAAUAUGUACAAAAAUUUGAAGUUGUGUGUUAAGGAGAACAGACUAAUUCGUAUAUCUUUAAAAUAAACAUGCACAGGUUUUUAAGGUUUUUAACAUUACUCGUUGACAUGAUUUCAUAAAAUUUCAUUACAUUUGGUCUCGUACAAUAUUUUCUGUGUAGAUAUUCUUUUCCUAUACCGGAUAAAGCACUGCACUCUAAUACAAAAUGAUAAUCAUCUGCAUUUUUUGUUUCAUUACAUUAAACGCAUGAUCUUUCGUUAUAUGGUAUACUAAACCAUCGGCCAGUCUCUACUGGGAGGCGAUGGUUCGUGAUACGAAAUUUCAAAAAGAUGCUACUGAAUUUCUUAGGUAGAUUUUCAAGAUAAGUUUCCAGACCAAAACUUGUUUUUAAAAUUCUGUACAUUGUAUCUUUGGAAGAGCUAAAAACAUCACUUGGCCAAGUCUGGAUAAAUUGAUCCUUGAGACUUUGUUUUACAGCGUUUGUUAUCCAAUUUUCAUUCACAUUACCUUGUUCAUACCAUAUAUUAGAGAUUGCACAUACACGUAUGUUCAAAAUUCUAUGAAGACAUUCAAACCAUGGAUUUUUAAAUGUGCCAUUAUAGCACUGUGUACAAUGUAUAUAAAUAUUUGUAAAGAAUA